AAUUUCUUCUAAGCAGUGUUGGGCUUUUGCAAUAGCUUCUUCCUCUUUGGUCGUCUGCGGUGUAAUGCUUAUCGAAAACUCCAAGUCGAAUGGACUUUGUGGUAAGUAGCCCAAGCACACGUCGAAAGGAGACUUCAAUGUGGAACUGUGCACUAUCCUGUUAAAUACAAACUGCAGGUAAGACAAACUCUCAUCUUAAGUCUUG
rnacentral:lncRNA from 1 species